GAUGAACGCUAGCGGCAGGCUUAACACAUGCAAGUCGAGGGGUAGAGGAAGCUUGCUUCCUUGAGACCGGCGCACGGGUGCGUAACGCGUAUGCAAUCUACCUUGUACAGGGGGAUAGCCCAGAGAAAUUUGGAUUAAUACCCCAUAGUAUUAUUGAAUGGCAUCAUUUGAUUAUUAAAGUUCCAACGGUACAAGAUGAGCAUGCGUCCCAUUAGCUAGUUGGUGUGGUAACGGCAUACCAAGGCGACGAUGGGUAGGGGUCCUGAGAGGGAGAUCCCCCACACUGGUACUGAGCCCCGGACCAGACUCCUACGGGAGGCCGCAGUGAGGAAUAUUGGUCAAUGGGCGCAAGCCUGAACCAGCCAUGCCGCGUGCAGGAUGACGGUCCUAUGGAUUGUAAACUGCUUUUGUACAGGAAGAAACACUCCCUCGUGAGGGAGCUUGACGGUACUGUAAGAAUAAGGAUCGGCUAACUCCGUGCCAGCAGCCGCGGUAAGAC
rnacentral:rRNA from 1 species